GCAUUUUGCAUACAUAUCAAUCAAGGAAUUGCAAACUUGCAAAUUGAACUCGCACCCACAAACAAUCACGUCUUUGUGGAUCCAGGUUCCCCCCUCCAACCACAACAAGUGUGCGCAAGCUCUUAGGACUUUUGGAAAUACAUAGUUAUCAGGCAAAACACCGCUAAAUUUCAUCAACCCAUAAUUCUGUACACAUUUCUCAUACAUACCAUGUCUCAAAUAAAACCCAACAAUAGCAGUCCACGUAAAAACAUUUGGUUGUGGCAAUUUAUCAAACAGUUUAUAAGCUGAUGUCAAAUCGUCACAAUCUGCAUACAUUUGGAUCAAUUUGGUGACCAAGAAGGAAUCGUAGUGUGAUCCAGAAACUGUGAUUUGUUGGUGAACUUGUUGGCCUUGGCUUAGCGAUUUGGAGUUGCUGCAGAGUUGAAGUAGAUUGAUAAGAGUAAAAUUUUUGGGACUGAUUUGCAUAUGAAGAAAAUUGUUUCUUUGCCAUAAGCUCAUCUCAUUUGGGAUUAUUUUGGCGGGAAUGUCCCACUCCUCGUUUCCUCCCAGACAAAGAACAAAGUUUACGUUGAUUCAGAGUGCAGCCAAUACUGAACAGCAGAGGUUAUAAGUCCGAACUUCUAUAUUUAUUGAUAAAUGAA
rnacentral:misc_RNA from 1 species